rnacentral:rRNA from 1 species
GUCCAGACUCCUACGGGAGGCAGCAGUGGGGGAUAUUGGACAAUGGGGGAAACCCUGAUCCAGCGAUGCCGCGUGAGGGAAGAAGGUUUUCGGAUUGUAAACCUCUGUGGACAGGGACGAUAAUGACGGUACCUGUCAAGAAAGCCACGGCUAACUACGUGCCAGCAGCCGCGGUAAUACGUAGGUGGCGAGCGUUGUCCGGAAUUACUGGGUGUAAAGGGAGCGUAGGUGGCAGGGCAAGUCAGAUGUGAAAACCCGGGGCUCAACCCCGGGAGUGCAUUUGAAACUGUCCAGCUGGAGUGCAGGAGAGGUAAGCGGAAUUCCUAGUGUAGCGGUGAAAUGCAUAGAUAUUAGGAGGAACACCAGUGGCGAAGGCGGCUUACUGGACUGUAACUGACACUGAGGCUCGAAAGCGUGGGGAGCAAACAGGAUUAGAUACCCGAGUA